ACUUGUCUCUGAAUUUUGAUGAAGCCCAUUUGAAAUAACCACAGUUUGCUUCUGGAUUAGAGGAAGGUCCCUGCAAGAGUUGUAGAUAUACUUAGCAUGUAGUUACAACGGUUAAAAAGACUUGGUUAAAAUCUUUUUACCUCAGCUCGAGAGCAGACGUAGAAUCUGCGUCCGAAUGUGGGACCUGGUUUCUUGACGACCCUAGCAACACAAGCUUCUUUAUGUCCUUUGCAGAGAGCUGAAGAACCUGUUUGAUCCUGUUCCUGUGUUGAAGUAGUCGGUUCACUGUCUUCUUUGCCUGAAACAUUCGGUUCUGUGAUGCUUUCUACUUGGGAGCUGGGACUGGAGGAAACAUAGGAAGAAGAACUAUCCUCGACAUUGUUUACUUUUGAGUUUGUAGUGAAAAAGGACUUGAGAGAAAGCUGAGAUGAUUGGAUUUUCCUUGCUUUUUUCCUGUCUCCAUCUCUAGAGAUAUUCAAAGCUCUAACUGAUGAUGCACGUAUUCCAUCACUAAGGUUAUCAAUGGAACCUGUUGCUGCCACCGUUUCUGCUUCUGUAACGCCGGAAGUGGAUUUGUUCUCAAAAGAACAAGAUUUCUCAAGUGAAAUUCCCAUCGAACCACAAUUUCUCAGUGGUCCUGUAGAAAUAUCCCCACAAAUUGAUGAAGUAUUACUUUGAGUUGAUGAUGAACAUGACACCUCAAUGGCUUUGGCUUCUUCAUUGGCCCGCCUCUUCUAAAAAAACAAGUGAAGCAAAUUAUAAAAAAACGAUAGAGACAGGAAUAACUUGAGAAUAUGAACCAAUACAAGACAGCGGAAUAUAUAGGAAUUUUCUUGUACCAAGAGUUUGUUGGAAACCGUAAAUCAUGGGAAGAUAUCUUGACGCUAAUGGCGGCGUGCUGUGUUCCGGGAUGUCUGGUAAAUCAUCAAAACUAAUGAAUACAGGUACGUGGUCUGAUCCCUUAAAUUUUGUAACCAAUCCACCUUUCCACCUGUAGUGUGUUCAGAAGUUGAUUCACUGUAAAUUUGAGAUCCAAGUAAAAUGAAAAAAGGAAAUCUCAAG
rnacentral:lncRNA from 1 species